rnacentral:rRNA from 1 species
ACUGCGAGUGAAGCGGGAAAAGCUCAAAUUUAAAAUCUGGCAGUUUCGGCUGUCCGAGUUGUAAUCUGGAGAAGUGUUUUCCGCGUUGGACCGUGUAUAAGUUUCCUGGAACGGAGCGUCAUAGAGGGUGAGAAUCCCGUCUUUGACACGGACCCCAAUGCUUUGUGAUACGCUCUCAAAGAGUCGAGUUGUUUGGGAAUGCAGCUCAAAAUGGGUGGUGAAUUCCAUCUAAAGCUAAAUAUUGGCGAGAGACCGAUAGCGAACAAGUACCGUGAGGGAAAGAUGAAAAGCACUUUGGAAAGAGAGUUAAACAGUACGUGAAAUUGUUGAAAGGGAAACGCUUGAAGUCAGUCGCGUUGGCCGGGACUCAGCCUUGCAUUCGCUUGGUGUACUUUCCGGUCGACGGGCCAGCAUCAAUUUUGAUCGCGGGAUAAAGGCUAGAGAAAGGUGGCUCUUCGGAGUGUUAUAGUCUCUGGUCGCAUGCCGCGGUUGGGAUUGAGGAACUCAGCACGCCUUUAUGGUCGGGGUUCGCCCACGUUCGUGCUUAGGAUGCUGGCGUAAUGGCUUUAAACGACCCGUCUUGAAACACGGACCAAGGAGUCUAACAUGCCUGCGAGUGUUCGGGUGGAAAACCCGUGCGCGUAAUGAAAGUGAAAGUUGGGAUCUCUGUCGUGGAGUGCACCGACGCCCGGACCAGAACUUCUGUGACGGAUCUGCGGUAGAGCAUGUAUGUUGGGACCCGAAAGAUGGUGAACUAUGCCUGAAUAGGGUGAAGCCAGAGGAAACUCUGGUGGAGGCUCGUAGCGAUUCUGACGUGCAAAUCGAUCGUCAAAUUUGGGUAUA